rnacentral:misc_RNA from 1 species
GCUUGAUAAGAUUGGCCAAGGAACUUAUAGUAACGUCUAUAGGGCUCGUGAUCUUGAUAAUGGCAAGAUCGUUGCUUUGAAGAAAGUAAGAUUUGACAACUUAGAGCCUGAAAGUGUGCGGUUCAUGGCUAGGGAGAUUCACAUUCUGCGCCGACUUGAUCAUCCAAAUAUUGUAAAGCUUGAGGGCUUAGUGACGUCACG